CACGUAGGGCGCAAGCGUUGUCCGGAAUUAUUGGGCGUAAAGAGCUCGUAGGCGGCCUGUCGCGUCGGCUGUGAAAACCCGGGGCUCAACCCCGGGCCUGCAGUCGAUACGGGCAGGCUAGAGUCCGGCAGGGGAGACUGGAAUUCCUGGUGUAGCGGUGAAAUGCGCAGAUAUCAGGAGGAACACCGGUGGCGAAGGCGGCGAUCUGGGUAGAUACUGACGCUGAGGAGCGAAAGCGUGGGGAGCGAACAGG
rnacentral:rRNA from 1 species